UACGUAGGGUGCGAGCGUUGUCCGGAAUUAUUGGGCGUAAAGGGCUCGUAGGCGGUUUGUCGCGUCGGGAGUGAAAUCCACUGGCUUAACUGGUGGCUUGCUUUCGAUACGGGCAGACUGGAGGUAUGCAGGGGAGAACGGAAUUCCUGGUGUAGCGGUGAAAUGCGCAGAUAUCAGGAGGAACACCGGUGGCGAAGGCGGUUCUCUGGGCAUGUCCUGACGCUGAGGCGCGAAGGCGUGGGGAGCGAACGGG
rnacentral:rRNA from 1 species